ensembl:misc_RNA Metazoa_SRP Metazoan signal recognition particle RNA
GCCGGGCAUGGUGGUGGGUGCCUGUAAUCCCAGCUACUCAGGAGGCUGAGGCAGGAGAAUUACUUGAACCCGGGAAGUGGAGGCUGCAGUGAGCUGAGAUUGUGCCACUGCACCCCAGCCUGGGUGACAGAGUGAAACUCUGUCUCAA